rnacentral:ncRNA from 1 species
UCGCAGUAAGGCGAUGGUGCUCCGCCUUAUCAACCGCCCUAACCAGAGGGACGAUGGCGCCUGCAAUAAC